UAAAAAUAAGAUAUUGCUAUGAAAUAGAAUCCAUACAAAGUUUUAGACACUUAUGACAGUCCUAAUUAUAGAACCGUAAUCACUAGGCUAGUUUCAACAUGUUAGCAUCUUUUAGUUUUCUAGCAUGCGAAAUUCAGGAGCUUAUCUCAUGAAUAAUAUGUAUGAGAAGUUUCAGUUGAGCAAUGAGUUGUGAUGACUUUUCAGUUCCCUUUUUUAGUUUUUUAAUGCGUAGACACAAACGUUGUGAGAAGACGUGCUGAAAUAGGGGAAACCGGAUGCUAAAUCACAACAAGCUAGAAAGUAAAGAUGUCACCUUUAUGCUCUAGUUAUUACAAAACAAAAACACUUCAAUGAGUCGGCAUGUUGGAGGUUUUGGGGAUGGUUGAAAUUUGUGGAUGUCGGCUUUUGGUCACAGCAGGCGAUGUUGUGUUACUAAUCCAUUUUAUAUUGCAAUUUUUAGACAACACUGAAGUCUCAUCAAAAAAACUCAAGUUGCUGAUUAAAGACAAAUCUGCUAUCAAAGCAUGUUCCCCGUCUGGCUCAGAUCGAUAUUCUAACACUUGCGUCCUGGACACUGUCCUAACUACCUUUCAUAUAGCUUAUAUCUGCUGUCCAAAUGUAGCAGAUCUUUUAAAUAGAAAUGACUUUUUCAGAGAAGUUAUUUCUUUGUUAAACAAUAAAAAGUAUGAUGAGGCUCGGAAGGUCUGUGUAACUGAGCUAAAUCAUGGAAAAGUCGACCUUUUUGGUAAUGUCGAAGAAUAUUUCCCACUGUUCGCUAAACUGGUGUGGCCAGAACGUUCUCCAAACGAUUGUAAACUAAUCAGGGAGCUUAAGAAAUUUGGCAGAGUAUUUGUUUUGGGUGACCCGUCUGAUCCACCUCUAAUUCUGGUUCCUGUUAAAGUUCCCAAUGUUCCGUGUGAUAAACUGCCACCAAAUGUUAAUGAUGAAGAGAAAAAAAGGAAUUUUGCCUGUAUUUUUUUGCUGAUGGGGAAAGAUAAGCACAUGACCAUGUGCUUCCAGUCCUCUGAAAAUGAAUGGCAUUUAUAUGACAAUGAUCCAAACAUGCCAUCGUUUCAGCCCUUUGAUCCUGACCAUUUUAUAAACUACAUGAUUUGUUUGGCGGUAUAUGUCAACAUAACCCAGUUAGAAGAAUAUAAAGUUGGCAUUGCCGAGACUGGAGAAGGAGUAGGUUUAUCAAACGAGUAUGGUGGGGAUCCACCUCAACACUUCUACCCACAACAGUCGGUGGCAGACAUAGAAAUGGAAGAUCUAAGCUGCCUUGUGUCUAUUUCUGAGACUGGGGACAGCCUGGGAGUAAGGCCUUUCAAGCAAAGCUGUCCAGAUGUUUGGCCAAAUUUCAGCAUCCAGGAACAGCAGGUGGAAGACAUAGAAAUGCUGUCCUGCAGCAGCUCCGAUUCGGAUUAAGCAUUUUGCUCUGAGUUCUUGAACGUGUCUUCUUUUUGGAUCUGCCUGGUCCAUUUGGAUGCUUCUGGAUGGAGAUUCGGGAGAUGGCUCCACGUGGACAGCCUGGAGACCCAUGGAGACCCUUUGGCUUAACUGCUAUUUUUAUCAUCAGUUUUUUUAUUACAUCCUUGGGACUGCUAUUGAUAUUAAAAUUUAUACCCUAUGGCUUUACUGUUUUUGUAUUAAGCUAUAAUUAAUUCAGAAAUUACGUUGCUUUCUGUUACUUAAAAAUUUCACUUGUCAAAUCAUCAGUUCAGUUAUCACUUAUGAAUAAAGGAAUAUACAUUUAAUAAUGUCUAACUGCAUAAAUGAUAAUUAAUUGAAUCUGGCAGGGCUAAAGUAAAACAGCAGACUUAGCUGAACAGAACUACAACUAAAAAAUGUUGCUUACAACCCAGAUUGUAAUAUUUUCCACGAUGCUUAUAACUUUCUUAUUUUAUGCUUGCUCCAAAUUCUAAAUGUUCCUAAAGUCUCAUUUGUGAAUCAUUGUAUCGCUUCCAGUAAUGUUGUCUCAUAAUGUAAACAACUAUUAAAUUUAUGGAAUAAAAUAAUGAAAUCUUUCAAAUCGGCUGAAGUUUAAAAUUUAGUCUACAUCUUUAAAAGACUACAGCUUUAUCAUACAGAUUGUACCAAACACCACAACGUUGAGGUUAAAGAAAGAUUUUGCUCUUGGCUAAUAGAAUUUAGACAUACUUAUGACAGUCGUAAUUAUAAAACUGUAAUUACUAGGCUAGUCUCAGCAUGUUAGCAUUUUUGAAAAAGCGGAGUUUGACGCAAUUUCCUGUUUCAGAAUGACGUGUACCAAGCUUACUUAAGGUGGUGCGCGCGCAAGUUCCACCAUUUCGUGUUGGCAUUUAGACUGGCAUUCAUCUUACGAGCUGAGAGAAGAAAACUUGCGCUUAAAAUUAAUUUCAAGAACAAAGGAAAUGGAAGGAAGAACAAUGAAAAGGAAAGCCUCAUUCACGGAAGGUCCACCAAAUAAAAGGAGGCGCCUACAGUACUCCGAUGGUACAGAACGGAAGCCUACAUGGCCACGAACAAUCAACCAUUUAUUAAUCCUCGGAUUUCAGGGUUCCUACAUGAAAGAGGCUGUGGGCUUAAACCAGUAUAUCAACACUUGUGUCCCAGACACAAUACUGGCUUCAUUACAUAUUCUUGCCAUCAAAUAUCUACAUAUAAUGGCUCUUCUAAGAUCAGAGAACUUUUUUAGAGUCCUUUUGAAAACUUUAAAUUCAGAAAAGUAUAAUUAUGCAAGAGCUCUUUGGAUUAGAGGCCUUUGUGGAGACAAUUCUAAUAACCUCGACUGUUUCAGUAAUAUAAAAGACCAUUUCCCAAUCAUUGAUAAACUGGUGUGUGCUAAAGUUGAUUAUCACCAGGAAACCCCUGAGUACCAUCCCAUAUAUGAAAAAUUGAGUAAAUUUCGGUCAUUUGGCGAUCUGAGGGUUUUUGGUAACAUAUCAGACCCGUCUUUUCUUCUGGUGCAUCGAGAUGUCUACAAUCCACGUUACGAUCCCUGCAUGACCCAUCCACCGCCACUAACUGUUAUAGAUGACAACAAAAGGUAAACCAAAAAAUCAUAUGCUGUGGACCUGGGGGCAUUUCAGAAAGUGUUGCCAUAAAAAAGGUCAUAGAAAGACUGUUUAUAGCUGCUAUAAGUGAUAACAUUCAUUUCCAUGAAUGCUCCACAAUAGAAAAAAAGAUUAUGUGCUGUAUGUUGUAUGUAUUGUGUCGUUUUAUUUAUUUAUUUAUUGGAAUUGUAUUCAUUCUAAAACUAUAUUCAACAAUAGUGUUUAUUUUUUCACUACUUGUCUUAUGAUAUACUGUCACUAUCUGUAAUGUUGCACUCUAAGCAUUGGAAUAUGCUAUUUCAUUACUUGUAUGUGACAAUAAUAAUGAUUAUCUAUCUAUCUAUCUAUCUAUCUAUCUAUCUAUCUAUCUAUCUAUCUAUCUAUCUAUCUAUCUAUCUAUCUGUCUGUCUGUCUGUCUGUCUAUCUAUCUAUCUAUCUAUCUAUCUAUCUAUCUAUCUAUCUAUCUAUCUAUCUAUCUAUCUAUUACUUAUUAAUUACUAAAUAAUUAGAAGCAGCAACAGAUACAACUAACAUUCAAACUUUAAUAGUAUACAGUUCAUUAGUUGUAUUUUAUUUGUGGAACUGUUGCAAAUGAGCUGUAAAAAAAAACAAAAAACCUAUUGUGAUUGUGUGUAUGUGUGUUUGAAAGAAUAUUGUUGAAUGUAAUAAAUGUCCUAAAGAAUGUAGCUAGCUCCCCCUCCCCUGUGGUGGAUAGUGAAUACAUCAGAGAACAUGAUUCUGUAGGUCUCAUUCCACCACCAAUACAAAACAUCAACUACAGGACCAGCAAUGUCAUAAUACACACACCAGAAUAGCUCUUGACUCAUAAUUCUGCUCCCAUUAACUUUUCUUUCCUUUGGCAUUUGCCAGAAUGCACCCAGACCCAGACACAAGAUCCUCAACUGCCUCCUAUGCACCGCCUUCAGUAUUUAAACCCUGUCAUCAUGCACCAGCCACUUUAAUCAAUAGUCACCACAUUUACAUCUACAGCAGUGGUCCCAGAAAGUACUUGGACACUUUACACCAGGUGUUUUACACUGUCAGGGCACCACAUCAUCAGUGAUGGCAAUUGAGUCUAGUGUCAUCUACACAAAGAAGGCCAGUCUAGUUCCCUGAUCAGCAAAACACUAAAUCUACCUUUCUCCACAUUUGGAUAUUUUGUAACAAGAAGUUUAACACAACAAAUUCAAUAAGUGCAAAUUAUUUUAUGCACUGUAUGUUUCACAUUUGGUUCUUAAAGGGUCUGUUGUCUUGUAGUUUUAACAGCUUUGUUAUCCUCAUUAUAAUGAUUUUAUAUUU